UCUUGGAUUCCUUUGACCGUCCUCAAAGUCACGGCGAGAAUUCAGAAGGAGCGGGCGAUCUCGCGCCGGAGUACCAAGAUCUCUGUCGAAAGAUCACGAAACUAGAGAACGAACGUGAACAUCACAACGUUUCUCAAGACGAUCCCGCCAUGCCCUCUAGUCUAAAGAACAAGCAAUUUAAAAAAAUCAAGGCCAUCAUCGUGUUCGGAUAUCUUGGAGACGCCUAUCAAGGACUCCAACGAAAUCCAGGCGCCAACACCAUAGAACAGAGCCUUAUCGACGCAUUCGGCAAAGUGAGCGCCAUAGACCCUUGCAAUUUGGGCAGCUGGGAAAAAGUGGCGUGGAUGUGCGCCGCGAGAACCGACAAGGGCGUGUCGGCCGUCGCCAACAACGUUUCUCUGGCUAUGCGACAAGUUCCUGAAUUCGUCGAUCAAAUCAAUUCAGUGCUUCCUCAAGACAUUCGCGUCUUCGGCGCAAAAAAAGUCGGCAAGGGCUUUCGGUGUCGAACGCGCGUCGACGUGAGACGAUACAAAUACGUCUUGCCAAGCUUUUUGUUUGCGCCUUCAAAAAAACCCCCUUCGACAGACAAAUGGCACUUUGACGAAUACACGCGAAAUUACGUCAACCGAGUUCUGUCCAAAUUCUUGGGAGCUCGAAACUAUCACAAGUUCACCUCUCGGGUCCCGUAUAACAGUCCAAAAGCGGUGCGCGUAAUGAAAUCUCUGACGUGCUCCGAGCCAAUAACGAUAGGGCCAAUCGAGUGGGUCGAAAUAACCGUGAUUGGACAAAGCUUCAUGCUGAACCAAAUCAGAAAGAUGGUAGCCUUGACCAUCAACGUCGUUAGAGACGGCCAGAGCGAAGAUGUCAUCGACUUGUUUUUCACCGACUCACCGACUCCAGGAAUUCACAUGGCUCCGGCUGAAGGCCUCUAUUUAGACGAGUGCCUUUACGAUCAGUACAACAAGAACCGGCCCUCAGAUGCACAAAUUCUAUGGAUUGAGGAAAGAGCCGCUAUAGACGAGUUUCGAGACCGGCACGUUGUACCUAAUAUAUACAAAAAGGAGGUAGAAGACAAAAUCUUUUCAAAUUGGCUGGACACCAUAGACAAGUAUCCUUAUUCUUACGAAAGCUUCUUGCACGACAAGAACUCCCCCUCUAACCAAUCGAACGCUUCUUCGAUCAGCUCCGCUUCGUAGGGCUUUUUCGGGUCUCAAUAUGGCAGAUUCACAGCGGGUUUUUUUUACGCCUGUCAUCGUUCAUUAAAAAAAAUUAUCGCACAUUCUCUUUUUUUUUAAACCUAUCCUCGGGUUGUUCUGUAUCGCCGGGUCUGUUUUGAAACAUUUGGCCGUCAUGAACGACGAUGCAUCAACAGACGAUGUCCAAACUUGGGAUUUGACUCCGAAGAUCAUUCCCUUUCUAGAUCGCCACCAUGUUCUGCUUCUACUCAGCUUUCUUGAAGAAAACAGAAUCUACGAUGAAGGCGACAUCAAGCUGGCUAAGUACAACCUACUAAAAUCAUCAAACAUGAUCGAUUUGCUAAUAGAAAUUCACGCAUCUAUUUACGGCGACGACAAUAUACCACAGGAGAUGAAGGAAAAGCGCGAAAAGGUUCUACAGCAAAAUGAAGUUCUACAAAAUGCGGCCAUCCCACUGCUGAAGUUGAUUCAGGACAUCAACAUGGUUAAAUCCCUUCAUGAAAAUAAGCAAUACACCAUGUCGUACCUCGAGGAGUACUAUUCGAUUACCUCCGCUCAUCUCAGCGCGCUGUAUGAUUUGGCAAAAUUUAAAUACGAGUGCGGAGAUUACGCGACGGCUGCCGAUUAUUUGAUGCAUUUCCGAGAGCUAUCUUCUGAUCCAGAAUUACACCUUCACGCGCUAUGGGGAAGGCUUGCUGUUUACAUUUUAUUACAAUACUGGGAUGAUGCUCUCGUGACCGUCAAUCUUAUUCGAGAUACUAUUGACCACACGACUAACACGUCUCCUCUCGUCCAGCUUCAACAGCGGACUUGGCUUAUUCAUUGGUCGCUCUUUGUCUAUUUUAGCAACCUUUCCGUCUGUUCUCAGUGCAUUGAGCUGUUUUCUAACGAUCGAUAUUACGGCACUAUUCAGACCACGUGUCCUUACAUUCGACGCUAUCUCGCAGUUGCCUUGAUCAUUACCAAAAAACGUAAAACGAUCAAGGACAUCCAAAAAAUCGUCGAACACGGCUGGAACACCUAUUCCGAUCCAAUUACUCAGUUCACGGAAGCUCUGUUCGUUCAAUUUGACUUCGAACUCGCCGACCAAAUUUUGGUACAAUGUGAAAAAGUCUUCGAGCAGGACUAUUUCCUGUACCCGUUCAAGGAAGAAUUCAUGCAGAGUGCGCGGCUUAGCGCGCUCGAGAUCUACUUCAAAGUUCACAAUUGCUUCGUGACCAAGAAGCUUGGCAUGGACUUUGAAACGUCUGAGGAGUGGAUUGCGAGUUUGAUUCGAAACUUCAAGCUCAAUGCGAAGAUCGAUUCUCAGGCUGGGCAGGUAUUUAUCGGGCCUCGUCCGUCCGUCUACCAGCAGUUGAUUGACCGCACUCGCGAAUGGGCCAUGAGGUUUUUGAUGUUCAGUGGGAGUUUUGACAGAGGCAAAAAUCUGAAGAACAGAGAGCGUGGGAGGGAGACCUCUGCGAAGGAUCCCGUCAUCACGUGACCCUAUUAGAGUGUGAUUGAGAAAGAAUUGUGUUCAGGGCGAUAACGAAUAUUUCUCCGCAGAUAAAUCGUCCUCUCUUUUUGA